AUUGAACGCUGGCGGCAGGCUUAACACAUGCAAGUCGAGCGGAGAGAGGUAGCUUGCUACCGAUCUUAGCGGCGGACGGGUGAGUAAUGCUUAGGAAUCUGCCUAUUAGUGGGGGACAACAUUUCGAAAGGAAUGCUAAUACCGCAUACGUCCUACGGGAGAAAGCAGGGGAUCUUCGGACCUUGCGCUAAUAGAUGAGCCUAAGUCGGAUUAGCUAGUUGGUGGGGUAAAGGCCUACCAAGGCGACGAUCUGUAGCGGGUCUGAGAGGAUGAUCCGCCACACUGGGACUGAGACACGGCCCAGACUCCUACGGGAGGCAGCAGUGGGGAAUAUUGGACAAUGGGCGCAAGCCUGAUCCAGCCAUGCCGCGUGUGUGAAGAAGGCCUUAUGGUUGUAAAGCACUUUAAGCGAGGAGGAGGCUACUUUAGUUAAUACCUAGAGAUAGUGGACGUUACUCGCAGAAUAAGCACCGGCUAACUCUGUGCCAGCAGCCGCCGUAACAC
rnacentral:rRNA from 1 species